rnacentral:rRNA from 1 species
GACGAACGCUGGCGGCGUGCUUAACACAUGCAAGUCGAACGGAAAGGCCCUGCUUUUGUGGGGUGCUCGAGUGGCGAACGGGUGAGUAACACGUGAGUAACCUGCCCUUUACUUUUGGAUAACUUCAGGAAACUGGGGCUAAUACCGGAUAGGAGCUCCUGCUGCAUGGUGGGGGUUGGAAAGUUUCGGCGGUUGGGGAUGGACUCGCGGCUUAUCAGCUUGUUGGUGGGGUAUUGGCUUACCAAGGCUUUGACGGGUAGCCGGCCUGAGAGGGUGACCGGCCACAUUGGGACUGAGAUACGGCCCAGACUCCUACGGGAGGCAGCAGUGGGGAAUAUUGCGCAAUGGGCGGAAGCCUGAUGCAGCAACGCCGCGUGCGGGAUGACGGCCUUCGGGUUGUAAACCGCUUUCGCCUGUGACGAAGCGUGAGUGACGGUAAUGGGUAAAGAAGCACCGGCUAACUACGUG